rnacentral:rRNA from 1 species
GGGCCCGCACAAGCGGUGGAGCAUGUGGUUUAAUUCGAUGAUACGCGAGGAACCUUACCAGGGCUUAAAUGUUAGGUGACAGAUCUAGAAAUAGAUUUUUCUUCGGACACUUAACAAGGUGCUGCAUGGUUGUCGUCAGCUCGUGCCGUGAGGUGUCAGGUUAAGUCCUAUAACGAGCGCAACCCCUGUUGUUAGUUGCCAGCGAGUAAUGUCGGGAACUCUAGCAAGACUGCCAGUGCAAACUGUGAGGAAGGUGGGGAUGACGUCAAAUCAUCACGGCCCUUACGUCCUGGGCUACACACGUGCUACAAUGGUAGGUACAGAGAGCAGCCAAUGCGCGAGCAUGAGCAAAUCUAUAAAACCUAUCUCAGUUCGGAUCGGAGUCUGCAACUCGACUCCAUGAAGUUGGAAUCGCUAGUAAUCGCGGAU